UUACUUUUUUCUGAUUUUGCCAGAAUGCGACGAAACUCUAUAAAUUUUAUGACAAUAUAUCUAAUUACAUAAUUUAUUAGUACAAUACUAACAUAAAUAAUAAAUAGAUCUGUAUAUCCAUUGACGGCCCAUUUCCAUUAAAUCCGUUAAACAGAACUCGAUUUCGCCAUUAGGGUUUGAGUCUUGAGAUCAGCUUGUUACGGGGAGCAUUAACUAGAGCUGUUCAUUCUGAGAUGUCGGGGAUUCCAGUAUUUCGUGCGCUUGCACCAAAGACCAAGAAUGCAGUUGUUGCUGGAGGUCUAACUGCGUUUGUCUUUGGGGUGUAUUUCUACACGAUGAGAGCAGUUGGUGGUACUGAUGAACUUCAGGUGGCUAUUGACAAGUUUGAAGAUCAGAAGCAUCGAAACGAGGAAUAAGCUAUUACUACAAGAUUAUAUCUUUAUGUAUAAUUAGGUGAAUGUUGUUGCCCUCAGUUUCUUUAUAUUUAAAUAAAGUCUGAAUUUAUAAA